GGCUUAUUCCGUCAUUUGCCAAAGCUCGGGGGGUAAGGAGGAAUAACUCCACCAAAACACCAAAAACCACAAUAAAGCAUUUCUGCUGAGAGAGUGAGAGAGGGAGAAAGGAAUGGAAAAGAGGAAAAGAGGGGCGGAGAGGCAGCGGCGGGACGGAGAGCGGCAAAACACACCAACCAGCAUCUGACCCAAAGAGGAUGGAUGGAAACAGGGUGGCAAGGAAGGAAGGAAGGACAGAUUUUAGAAGGUGAGUACACGACCUCCAGUGGCUGCUCAAGGUAAACAUUCCCCAGGACACUGCAGCUCCAGCUGUGAGGAGUUUUUAAUCUUUUUCACCUUUUCUUUUCGCAUAAAGGGAAACUGGUUUUACAUGAAAAACGCCGCUCAGCCAGUGAAACCAGUUCCACUCAGUGACAUCACUCAGGUGCGUUAGCGUCAGUAAAGCUGACACAUGACAGACUGGCAUGGAGUUGUUUCCCACUUAAAUAAAUGCACAUGCAAUACGAUAUCCAGCUGAAGCAUUAUUACACCAAAGGCUAAACCACAGACAGGACCGUGCACUACUUUACAUUUCCCUGCAGUAUUCCUGCUCUGGUAAAAGCAUGUUUGUACUCUCCGCUGCCACCUCAGAUGAUAUCUCCAUGUUUCAUUAAGGUUCGUCAUGUUUAAUAGAAGCGUAGAAGCCGAUUUGUUUGUGGGUUCUGCUCCUAACCAGAGGCGAAACUAGGCGGAGAAAGAAAAGGUACUGAGAAACCAGAAAUAACAGUUUGACAUGUGUGUCGAGCUGCAGGCGAAAGUUCAAGUCGCUGAAAGAAAUUUCUGUAAAAGUUCAAUCGCUCUGACAAGGAAGGCAAUUACUGCCUCUGCCACGUCGGCGUGCCGCCGCCGCGCGCUGGGUAAUGAAGCCGAGAGAUCAGAAGAGAACAAAUUACUCUUCAGUCAGGACGAGAGAUGAAGAAAUGUGAAAACAGAGGUGAAGAGAGACGGAUGACACCGCGAUGAAAGACUGAACAGAAGAAAACUGAGACAAAAAGACGUUAUCGUCGGUUCACCGUCCUCGCGGUGUCGUGUUUCUGCAAGAGCCCGAAACACAAAGUCACGCUGUGCAACAAUUUCAUCCAGCUCCACAAUUUGUUCCCUCCUCCGACGAGGUGAGGAGAGAGAAAUGAGAGAGGGAUGAGAGAAAGGAAAAGGAUGAGUGACAAGGAUGAGUGAGGUCUCUGAUUAAAAAGGUGGAGGAUUGUGAUGAAAUUGAGGCAUGUGUUCGCUGCAGCUGACGAUGACACCUGCUAAUGGACCUCGGUGUCGUGACAUCUCAGCCCGAGCCCGUCUGUCUUUGAAUGUCUGCAACAGCCUUUGUUCCUGGAGGAAUCUGACACGUCUUUCAGCAUCUUCCUAUUUAGACACCUGGGGAAGACAAUAACGGGCGGACCACCUGUAGGAAGAUAUUUCAAGGAUGGACUUGUGAGGGCAAACAGCUGAAAGAUGGACGGAUGGUGAAGUAUCUCCCGAUGUUGGCGCAGCUCAGAACAAAGUCACGGUUAAAAUGAGCAGAACAAGUUAAUUAAAAGUUCUGUCUUGGCAAAUUUAUGACAUUUUUCUUCUGGCGUCUUUCAGCCCAAUUUUGCAGGAACUUUUUCGAAGCUUUAUCUGCAUUUCGAUGCCACUUCAAGUCAUUUUUUAGCUUUUUCAGUGUAAAGUUAGCAUUGCUAAAUUGGCUAGCUCUCCCAGAUCGCAAAAUAAAUCUGCACCCCCAGUUUCCUAGGUCCGAUACAGCAUGAUUGUCAGAUGUCUGUCUCUCAGCUGUCAGACAAUACUGGAGGAAAACAGCUGGAAUCUACCCAGAUUAUUUCAUGUUCCUGAUGUUUAAAUUAAAUUAUGUGCAGUUAGCCUAAAGUCAGGAAAGAUAAAAGACAGAGGGGAAACUUGACUUAAAUCUUCAGAAUCUUAAAUUUCAAAUUGGAAAAGGAGGAAGAAAACUAAUUAAACAUUUAAACAAAACUAAAACACAUUCUUAUUUCACAAUUCCUUAAACACAUUUGCACGAUACAGGUUUCCAAUCUUGCCUCCUCCUGGAAAUGUAAGCAAGAACAUUUUGUUUCUGAUGUAAUUUCUCAUUAGUUUCUGGGUCUCUUUGGUGCAAACCCAUUCAUCAUCCCCAUCCAUCUUUUUUUAAUUCCAGAGUAUUUCACAGCAAAUAUUUGUUUUACACUCAGAGGUUUUCAUUUAUGUCCCAAUUCUGCUGCUGCUGGAUCCAAAACUUUGUAAUGUUAUUCAUCUAGCGGACUGAAAACAAGACCACAUAUAACCACAGUAUAUUAAACACUGUCCCUGUAUCCUGAUCUGUCACAACUUGCACCGGUUUAUUAAAUGAAGGUAAUAAA